GCUGGAGUUGUGGCUCAGUGGUAGUGCACUUGCCUGGCAUUGCAUGAGGCCCUGGGUUCUAUCCUCAGCAUGGCA
rnacentral:tRNA from 1 species